rnacentral:misc_RNA from 1 species
UAAGCUCCUCCAUCUUUGAGUUUGUGAUAUUUAGUCUGAAAGCGAUGCAUGAGAACCACCAGCAUUCCUCGCUCGGAGCUCAAUAUUCCUCAGAUCCCGAAGAUGCUGUAAGAUCUCUUGAAGAAGAUCGAUACCCUUAUCCCCUUUCUUCACGGAGCUAAUACAGUGCUUAAGAAACUCUCUAUCAGCCUCGAGAACUUGCAACCUCUCGUAAACAUUAUCGACCUCCUCGGCAAUUGCAAGCUUCUUGCGAACUGACUUGGAAACAGGUUCAG